rnacentral:rRNA from 1 species
UGGGGAAUUUUGGACAAUGGGCGAAAGCCUGAUCCAGCAAUGCCGCGUGUGUGAAGAAGGCCUUCGGGUUGUAAAGCACUUUUGUCCGGAAAGAAAUCCUUGGCUCUAAUACAGUCGGGGGAUGACGGUACCGGAAGAAUAAGCACCGGCUAACUACGUGCCAGCAGCCGCGGUAAUACGUAGGGUGCAAGCGUUAAUCGGAAUUACUGGGCGUAAAGCGUGCGCAGGCGGUUUGCUAAGACCGAUGUGAAAUCCCCGGGCUCAACCUGGGAACUGCAUUGGUGACUGGCAGGCUAGAGUAUGGCAGAGGGGGGUAGAAUUCCACGUGUAGCAGUGAAAUGCGUAGAGAUGUGGAGGAAUACCGAUGGCGAAGGCAGCCCCCUGGGCCAAUACUGACGCUCAUGCACGAAAGCGUGGGGGAGCAAACAGGAUUAGAUACCCUGGUAGUCCACGCCCUAAACGAUGUCAACUAGUUGUUGGGGAUUCAUUUCCUAGUAACGUAGCUAACGCGUGAAGUUGACCGCCUGGGGAGUACGGUCGCAAGAUUAAAACUUAAAUGAAUUGACGGGGU